rnacentral:rRNA from 5 species
GAGGUUAAGCGACUAAGCGUACACGGUGGAUGCCCUGGCAGUCAGAGGCGAUGAAGGGCGUGCUAAUCUGCGAUAAGCGCCGGUAAGGUGAUAUGAACCGUUAUAACCGGCGAUACCCGAAUGGGGAAACCCAGUGUGACUCGUCACACUAUCAUUAACUGAAUCCAUAGGUUAAUGAGGCGAACCGGGGGAACUGAAACAUCUAAGUACCCCGAGGAAAAGAAAUCAACCGAGAUUCCCCCAGUAGCGGCGAGCGAACGGGGAGGAGCCCAGAGCCUGAAUCAGCAUGUGUGUUAGUGGAAGCGUCUGGAAAGGCGCGCGAUACAGGGUGACAGCCCCGUACACAAAAGCGCAUGUGCUGUGAGCUCGAUGAGUAGGGCGGGACACGUGGUAUCCUGUCUGAAUAUGGGGGGACCAUCCUCCAAGGCUAAAUACUCCUGACUGACCGAUAGUGAACCAGUACCGUGAGGGAAAGGCGAAAAGAACCCCGGCGAGGGGAGUGAAAAAGAACCUGAAACCGU